CCAAUAGCGUAUAUUAAAGUUGUUGCAGUUAAAAAGCUCGUAGUUGAAUUUCGGGAUCGAUACGUCGGUCGUGCCUUCGGUAUGCACUGGUGUCAUCGAUUUCUCCCUUCUGAGGAACCGUGAUGUCAUUAAUUUGGUGUCGUGGGAAAUCAGGACUGUUACUUUGAAAAAAUUAGAGUGUUUAAAGCAGGCAUACGCUUGAAUACAUUAGCAUGGAAUAAUGAAAUAGGACGUUCGAACCUAUUUUGUUGGUUUCUAGGAUCAACGUAAUGAUUAAUAGGGAUAGUUGGGGGCAUUAGUAUUCAAUUGUCAGAGGUGAAAUUCUUGGAUUUAUUGAAGACUAACUACUGCGAAAGCAUUUGCCAAGGAUGUUUUCAUUAAUCAAGAACGAAAGUUAGGGGAUCGAAGACGAUCAGAUACCGUCGUAGUCUUAACCAUAAACUAUGCCGACUAGGGAUCGGAUGAUGUUAAUUUUUUAAUGACUCAUUCGGCGCCUUACG
rnacentral:rRNA from 1 species